rnacentral:rRNA from 1 species
UACGUAGGGGGCAAGCGUUGUCCGGAUUUAUUGGGCGUAAAGAGCGUGUAGGCGGCCGCACAGGUCCGUUGUGAAAACUGGAGGCUUAACCUUCAGACGUCGAUGGAAACCGUGCGGCUAGAGUCCGGAAGAGGAGAAUGGAAUUCCUGGUGUAGCGGUGAAAUGCGCAGAUAUCAGGAAGAACACCAAUGGCGAAGGCAGCUCUCUGGGACGGUACUGACGCUGAGACGCGAAAGCGUGGGGAGCGAACAGG